rnacentral:lncRNA from 1 species
CAUCUCUCCCCUUCCCAUAUAUUUACCUACUCCAUAAUUUCUUUAAAUUUCUUUAAACAUUUACCAAAGGUCCUGAAGUAACAUCUAAACUACUUGUCUCCUUAACUUACAGGUAAAGAAAACAAAGACCCAGCUGGGAGAGACUAAAAUGGAUGCACCUACUUUCAAGCCCAAGCCUUCAGAGAGAUCAAGAAAAGAAGUGGCAACCCUGGGAAACAAAAAAGGAUUUGUCGCAUUAGAGGAAAUAAAAUUUAGCACAAUGUUAGAAUGUUCCUCUCGGCAUUUACAACUCAAGCACCUGCUAUUGGUCUCCACCAUUAGGAGACUGAUCAUCCUUGCAGGGCAAGUAGUCUGCUUUCCAUUCACCACUGCAAUCAGAGUAUGGAAAAGCCAAGUGUUUGGAUGUGGCCCUUUGGCUUAACUACCUUUUGCUCUUGAUCUAUAUGGCUGGAAUCCUAGUCAUACUUGUUCCCUUCCUAGUACAAUUCUGGCAAUUCUGCAAGGACCCAGCUGAGAUGGAAGAGAGAGGAAAGAAGGAGGAGGCAGAAGGAGAGGUGAUGACAUAAUGCUUUCCCAGCAAACUGACCUAUCUAGUGUCAAUCUUGGUAAUUUGUGCUUCUAUAUUUUCUCCUAUAUCUUUAGAACCCAUUCACAAUGUACCAGGGACUCUGGUCUUUCAUUCCUAGGAAUGAAGUGUUCUUUUGUUUGUUAUCUUUUUUUUCUUGUCUCUGUCCAUUCAAAUGUUAGAAUAAUCAUUACCUUUUAACAGCUGAAAUAUCUGUGCAGGUUUUUAAAAAAUAAGUAUUUUUCAUUUGACUGAACUGAUUUCAUCAGAGAAGGUUAAUGCGAUCAUUUUAAUUUGCAAAUUUUUUUC